AGAAAAUUCCUGCAUUCCUGUCUUAAUUAAAUCUCUCCAACCAACCAGUUUUCUGCAGAAUAUAAUUCAUUCAUUCAGGUAUGAAAUGAUGAAAACUGUUUACAUAGCCACAACCCUGAUAACUACGUCUGGGAUGAAAUUAAUUUAUUUCUGAGGCGUCUGGGUUCCGCAGAUGACGUAAUUACUAUUGGACAUUCAAACUACUCCUAAGACUCAUUUAGGGUAGUUCUGAGACACACUGGCAAUAUGGAAAUAGGUCGUAAGUUCUUGGGGCAAAGACCAUGUUUUGAUUUUGCUAUUCUGAAAGUACCGCAUGUAUCUAAAGCUCCUAUAAAUAAACAAAUCAAGAUCAAAUGAUUGGUUGAAUUGGACAAAAAGAAAAACUUACCAGCUGGAAAUGGCAGCAUUCCCAGUUUAUAUCUGACCCGGUUGGGGCUCAGAGGUUAAUUAACAUGGCAAGCUCACGUGCUCUGAGUUCACGUGAUUGUCCUCACUCAUCAUCAAAGAGGGGGAAACUAAGGCAGUAUUAAGAGGCUAUUUUAUAUUUACAAAAUGAAUUUAAAACAAGGUUUUUUUCUUUGAGACAAGGUCUCGCUCUGGCACCCAGAUUGGAGUCCAGUGGUGUGAUCAUGGCUUAGUGCAAUCUGCCCAUCUCAGUGGGACCACGGGUGGAACUGCCCGCAUGUGCCACCAUGCCCGGCUAAUUUUAAUUUUUUUUUGGUAGAAAAAGGGCCUCCCUAUCUCCCUAUGUUGACCAGACUUGUCUUAAACUCCUGGGCUCAAGUGAUCCUCCUGCCUCAGCCUCCCAAAGUGCAGGUAUUACAGGCAUGAGCCACUGCACCAGGAAAAGAAAAGUGUUCUCAAGGUCACACCCAGGAUUCUGAAGCAUGCAGAGAAAUUCAGGUACUCACUCUGCUGUUGAAGGUAUUGCAAAUUGCUGUCGUACUUAGAAAUUAACUCACAC
rnacentral:lncRNA from 10 species